UACGGGGGGGGCAAGCGUUGUUCGGAAUUACUGGGCGUAAAGGGCUCGUAGGCGGCCAACUAAGUCGGAUGUGAAAUCCCCAGGCUUAACCUGGGAACUGCAUCCGAUACUGGAUGGCUUGAAUCCGGGAGAGGGAUGCAGAAUUCCAGGUGUAGCGGUGAAAUGCGUAGAUAUCUGGAGGAAUACCGGUGGCGAAGGCGGCAUCCUGGACCGGCAUUGACGCUGAGUGAGCGAAAGCCAGGGG
rnacentral:rRNA from 1 species